rnacentral:lncRNA from 1 species
UGUUCAUCCAGGAUGGUCUAGAUGAAUGGUGAUUGAGAGUUGAAGUCAAGGCUAUCGUUACUCUGGUGAGACCCAUUUUGGACUUCACCAAGGUCACAUUUGAUAUCCUGAACACUUUUGUUGAGUUCCUCCUCUUAUCGAGAUCUUCUAGAACUAGAAAGGUAGGUUAGGACCAAAUCAUUAGUGGAGGAAGAGCUUCUCGAGCAUGCCUCCCCAUGAAGCUCCAACAAGAGAGGAAUGAGCUGUAAUAGUGGGAGAGCAAUGGGAGUAUCGCCACGAUGCAUAUCUCAUACUAUGAGGGCA